CACUGAGAAGGCUUUUAACCCUGAGAUACGUUAAGAUGAAGACUUUCAGCAUGAAGAUUGUUGUUCUACUUGGAUUUGUGAUGCUUCUCUCUAUUGCUUUGGCUGAGCAUGAGCAUGGCCAUCAGCAUAUCAUUGAGAAGCGCUCUUCAAGUGAGG